rnacentral:rRNA from 1 species
UGAGUAACAUGACCUUCGGCGGGGGAUAGCCGGCCCAACGGCCGGGUAAUACCGCGUACGACCACAUGGGGACAUCCCUGAGUGGUGAAAGCAGCAAUGCGCCGAUGGAGUGCCUCGCGGCCUAUCAGCUAGUUGGUGAGGUAACGGCUCACCAAGGCAACGACGGGUAGCUGGU